rnacentral:lncRNA from 1 species
GGCCACACCCCCAGCAUGCAGAAGUUCCCAGGCUGGGGAUCAAACCUGCACCAUAGCAGUGACAACAGCAGAUCCUUAACUGCUAAGCCACCAGGGAACUCCUGUCCUUUGCUCCUGCUGGAUGCUCUCCCUAAGGACCUUCCCCAUGCCUCAUCUUUGUCUCUACUACCUACACCACAAACUCACGUUUGAGUCUUUCCUCUUUCUCUUCUGAUUCAAGUUCAAGACAUCUUUAAGCACACAAUAACUAGCUUUUCUACAGCAGACUUUUUCAAAGCUUUUUCUCCCUUACAGAAUCUUUCAAAAUAGGUAAUGCAGGCAUUAUUAUUACUUAAUAUAGUACUAAUGCGGUUCUUCCUAACAACCCAGAAUCAAACUUGAGGUGUGGAAUCUUACUUCCCCAGAGGCUGGCAGGAAUAGCUGAGAAGGGUAAGAUAGCCAUGCCUCUAUGGAAAGCACCUGACAAAUUCACCCUCUCCUUCCUAUCCAGCAAUGGCUGUUAUAAAGCAUAAUGGCCUAUCCUACACAACGGAAAAAGUGACUACAUUUGUUUGGUUUGGUUUGUGACAUCAUGGUCAGCUUGAUAAAUCAUCAUAAGCUUUCCCUUCAUCUCCACCUCAUUUCUUUCCCCCACAGUCACGGUGGAAUUAUAUUCCUCAAAAAAAAAAAAAAGAUAUAAACUUUGCCUCAGGCUUUGUUUUCUAGAGACAUUAAGCUAGAAAAUGUGGGGACCAGGAGACCUUCAGUCUAAGAUUUUGAAUUGGAAUGCUCACUGCUGGGAGACAAUUCUCCAUGGGUUUCUUACAGUCAAAAUGUCCCUACUGGGUCAGAGAUAGAGGACUUUGUCUUCUGCCAGCAUAUGUGCAGCUGUGGCAGGUGAAGUGGUUGGUUUGCAAUUAGAAGCAACCUAAACAUCCAUCAACAGAUGAAUGGAUUGAGAAGAAGUGGUAAACAUAUACAAUGGAAUACUAUUCACCCAUUAAAAAGAACAAAAUAAUGCCAUUUCAUCAUUAAUGCAACUAGAAAUUAUCAUGCUAAAUGAAGUUAGCCAGAAAGAGAAAGACAAAUGAUAUCACCUAUAUGUAGAAUCUAAAAUAUGACACAGAUGAACCUAUCUACAAAACAGAAACAGACUAUUCAAAGACAUGGAGAACAGACUUGUGGUUGCCAAGAGGGGAAAGGGAAUUAGAUGCACUGGGAGUUUGGGAGUUGGUUGAUACAAACUAUUACAUUUAGAAUGGGUAAGCAAUGAGGUCCUACUAUACAGCACAGGGAACUAUAUCCAAUUUCUUGGGAUAGAACAUGAUGGAAGAUAAUGUAAGAAAGGGAAUAUGUGUGCGUGUGUAUAAAUGACUGGGUCACACUGCUCUACAGAAGAAAUUGGUACAAUAUUAUAAAUCAACUCCACUUUAAUUUAAAAAAUAAAAUUUAAAAAAGCAAAGCAACUAGAAUAUAGUCUUACUCUUUACAGCUCUUGAUGCCUUCCUGCUGGUGAUAACUGGGAUGGUAUUAACCCCUGGCAGACAUGAACAUCACAAUUAGUUAAGCGUUCAUCUGCAGUUGAUUGAGAUGAGGUGCCAGUAAAGUGCAAGACAUUGGAAGGUCAAACGGCUGCAUCAAUUGAUUGAGAGGACAAUGAUAACUGUAAUGACGGUAGUGUCAAACAGUUAUUUGGGAAGACAUUUGAAACCUUGCAAAAAGUAAAUUAAAUCAGGGCAGCUAAUUGCCAGCCUAAGGCAUGUUCCAAAAGUGUUAGGACCCUCUAUCAUUUUAAAAGAGACACUCAUCUCCUACGACUGCCAAACAGACGGUGCUAAAAAUCAGGCCUAGGGUAUGAUUUUCACAUGUGUCAGACUGGCUAAUUAAAUGUAUUGCUUAAACAUGCCUCCUGUGUCAGAAUCAGAGCCCUCCUGGGAAAGAGUGGGAGGAGGAAAUCUGGGAUGGGGACAUCUCUGAGGUUAAGCCUGAGAAUCUUGGAGGCUUUAGGCCAAAAGAAGAAUUCCCUCCUUCCCUCCUCCCAUCAACUUACCUCGAGAUGUUGUACUGAUCUUACCUGAGUCAGGUGGGUGGCAAAUAGCAUUUCUCCUCUUUGGGAUCUGUCCCCAUGUACCACUAACCAGUGCUAGGACUUGCUACCAUGUGGGCAGGGCUAUCCAGGGUCUAUUCUAGGAGAUAACAGACUGUACACCAAAGGAACUGUAGGACUUGGGGUAUGUGCAAGAGUGAACCUUGAAGGUGACAGACCACAAGGUGGAGUGAAAGGACAGAUGGGGACAGUGAUUGGCAGGAGGGCACUCACCUGAGACUCAGGAUUCAAUGAGCUGAUAAGGACACCCAAAGCCAGUCCUAACACAAUGCUGGGUGAGUCCCAGAAACAAGGGCACAAUGAUGGCCUACAGAUAAAGGGGUGAAGAUACUAGAAGUUCCUUGGCAUCAUUCUAAAGAAAAGGUCAAAAAGUUCAGAAACAUGGAAUUGUUAGAAUGGAUGGACUAAAAGACCUGAGACUCCCCUUGUGAUUAAAUUCCCUGAGAGCUCAAUGGACACUUCCUUUAAUAAGUCAAGAGGAAAUGCCCUGAGGAGGUGGGUGCAAGAAUCAUCCAGAUGUUUUGUGGAGGCCAUCCUUGUAGGCAGGAGUUGCCAUGCACCUGCUGCCAUGGAACCAAGAUCCCUAAUAUAAAGGGGAUCUGGGAUGGCCUAGGCAGGGAAGCAGCACUGCCCAACCAGAAGCAAGUUGGGCAUAAUUACCAUACACGCAUAGUGGCUGGAGCAGCACUUGUGUGCCUUUGACUGACAGUGAUCUUUGGUGACAGGUAAAAGAUCAUGCUGUUCCAGGGGACAAGAUGGAUUGGCACCUGACUAGGGUGUUGCUUGAUCUGUAUAAUCAAAACUACACACACACACAGUGAUACACACAAGAGCUUUUGAGCAGAAGGCUGAUGGCGACCACAGUGGAAAAGCACAGUCCAUUCAUCCGUUUUCCAGAUUUAAGUCCAUUCACAGACCCAUUGCUCCACAUCCAAAGUAUAUAUUAACCAAGUCCUACAACUUCUUUGCUGCACAGUCUGUUACUUCCCAGAACAGGGCCUGUUUAUCCCUGCCCAACCUGAGGUAUGUCCUGGCAUGGGGUUCACAUUCUGGAGGUCAGGAUGGGGAGGGGGAGGCAGACUGGAGAGUAGGCCAGGUCUCCCUUAGGAAGGAGUCUGCAACACCAGUUCUGCAAGCCUAUGUGGAAAACACACCUCCGAUUCUUCCCCCAGAGGCUGGUGACCAUUUGCCUGGGAAACUAAGCCUUUGAAAAGGGGGGAAAUCCAGAAAUUUCUAAAACUGUUAAUUUCAGGGUCUGAUCUGACGCUAAUACCAAGGAACCUAAAACAGGCCACCAUGCUCCUCUGGUCAGAGUGAGGGCUUACGAAACCAUGUGACAAGGGCAAUUUUAGCCUGAGUCACAAUGGGCCUAAUAAGGCCCUUGACCCACACUGUGGUCACUUCACCCAUAACUAAGUGUGUAAAUGGGAUAGAGAGACUUAGCUGCAAGCAACACCCCACAUCUGCUUCCUGACCUGUGGAGUAAGAGCCAUUAUGGAAAUAAAGGCCAAAAGCAGCCCCUGAAACUGCCUCCUUUCCUGGACAAGAUAACAAACAGUAAGUGUUUCUGCACUCCUGAAGGAACUGAAGAGACUAGUGCCACAACCAAAGACUCGAAAAAGGCAGGAAUAGUGAUCCACAUCCUAUCUGCCAAGGCACUGGACUGGCCUCUAGAAUCCAGGUGCAUAGUGUUAGGGGCCAAUAGCACAUAGGGAAACUAACCAAGCCUUAGCCUCAGUGCCAAAUGAUGGGCUGAGAGCUUUACCAAAGCAGGUCAGAAUGGACCCCAGUCUUUAGUAUGUUACUACCGAGGUGAUAAAUGCUUUUUUUUCUUUCAAUAUCCAUUAGAGACAGAAUCAAAAGUAAUUCUGACUGCAAUAUACCUUGAACCAGAAUAGCUUUAGAGCUCUGUUAAUUCUCCAAUCAAAAUAUAGUCCUCGGGGAAUUUCACAUUUUGCAGAAUGUUGUGUCAUUCUAUAGAACAACUCAUUGGUGGAGUUCCUGUUGUGGCUCAACAGGUUACGAACUCAGGCUAGUUUCCAUGAGGCUUUGGGUUCGAUCCCCGGCCUCGCUCAGUGGGUUAAGGAUCUGGCGUUGCCAUGAGCUGUGGCAUGUGUGGCAGAUGCAACUGGGAUCUGGGGUUGCUGUGGCUGAGUGGUAUAGACCUCAGCUGCAGCUCUGAUUCAACCCCUAGCCCAGGAAAUUCCAUAUGCCACAGGUGCAGCCUUAAAAAAGAAAAAAGAAAAAAAAAAAAAAAAAAAAGAAAAAAAACAACACAUUUUUCCUUUAUUUUGAUGAUGUCAUACUAACUGUCCUGGGGAGCAGGAAGUGGCCACUACUUUACAUACUUUGAUAAGAGGAUACACGCAUGUUGGAAGAUGAGACACAAACCCCACAGAUAUUUAGGGGCUCACAAAUCAGUGGCAUUUCUAGAGCUU